rnacentral:rRNA from 1 species
GGGAACCCUGAUCCAGCCAUGCCGCGUGUGUGAAGAAGGCCUUUUGGUUGUAAAGCACUUUAAGCGAGGAGGAGGCUACUCUAGUUAAUACCUGGGGAUAGUGGACGUUACUCGCAGAAUAAGCACCGGCUAACUCUGUGCCAGCAGCCGCGGUAAUACAGAGGGUGCGAGCGUUAAUCGGAUUUACUGGGCGUAAAGCGUGCGUAGGCGGCUUUUUAAGUCGGAUGUGAAAUCCCUGAGCUUAACUUAGGAAUUGCAUUCGAUACUGGGAAGCUAGAGUAUGGGAGAGGAUGGUAGAAUUCCAGGUGUAGCGGUGAAAUGCGUAGAGAUCUGGAGGAAUACCGAUGGCGAAGGCAGCCAUCUGGCCUAAUACUGACGCUGAGGUACGAAAGCAUGGGGAGCAAACAGGAUUAGAUACCCUGGUAGUCCAUGCCGUAAACGAUGUCUACUAGCCGUUGGGGCCUUUGAGGCUUUAGUGGCGCAGCUAACGCGAUAAGUAGACCGCCUGGGGAG